rnacentral:rRNA from 1 species
CAGCCGCCGCGGUAAUACGAAGGGGGCUAGCGCUGCUCGGAAUGACUGGGCGUAAAGGGCGCGUAGGCGGCGGCCAAAGUCAGGCGUGAAAUUCCCGGGCUCAACCUGGGGGCUGCGUUUGAUACUUGGUUGCUUGAGAAUGGGAGAGGUGAGUGGAAUUUCCGGUGUAGCGGUGAAAUGCGUAGAUAUCGGAAGGAACACCAGUGGCGAAGGCAGCUUACUAAAGUAUGAUUGACGCUGAGGCACGAAAGCGUGGGGAUCAAACAGGAUUAGAUACCCCCGUAGUCCCUGUCUCUUAUAC